GAUGAACGCUGGCGGCGUGCCUAACACAUGCAAGUCGAACGAAGCCUGAUGAAGUGCUUGCACAGAUUCAUGCUUAGUGGCGGACGGGUGAGUAACGCGUGGGUAACCUGCCUUACACUGGGGGACAACAGUUGGAAACGACUGCUAAUACCGCAUAAGCGCACGGGAUCGCAUGAUUCAGUGUGAAAAACUCCGGUGGUGUAAGAUGGACCCGCGUCUGAUUAGCUAGUUGGUGAGGUAACGGCCCACCAGGGCGACGAUCAGUAGCCGACCUGAGAGGGUGACCGGCCACAUUGGGACUGAGACACGGCCCAA
rnacentral:rRNA from 1 species